GACGAACGCUGGCGGCGCGCCUAAUACAUGCAAGUCGCACGGGCACAUUUCGGUGUGUCAGUGGCGGACGGGUGAGUAACACGUGGGUGAUCUGCCCUUCGGUGGGGAAUAACUCUUGGAAACAGGAGCUAAUACCGCAUAAGCUUACCGCUUCGUUGCUGUAAGUAAAGAUUCAUUGCCGAAGGAGGAGCCUGCGGCGGAUUAGCUAGUCGGUGGGGUAACGGCUUACCGAGGCAACGAUCCGUAGCUGGUCUGAGAGGACGACCAGCCACACUGGGACUGAGACACGGCCCAGACUCCUACGGGAGGCAGCAGUAAGGAAUAUUCCACAAUGGGCGCAAGCCUGAUGGAGCGA
rnacentral:rRNA from 1 species